CUUGUACUCCUUCCGUCUGAAAAUACUUGUCAUUGAAAUGGAUGUAUCUAGAUGUAUUUUAGUUCUAGACACAUCCAUUUUGAUGACAAGUAAUUCUGGACGGAGGGAGUACUUG
rnacentral:pre_miRNA from 1 species